rnacentral:tRNA from 1 species
CCUUCGAUAGCUCAGUUGGAAGAGCGUGGGACUGUAACGGUUAACUUUCAUUUCAUCCCGAGGUCACUGGUUCGAUCCCGGUUCGAAGGA